rnacentral:ribozyme from 1 species
GCUGUUUGGAUAAUCACACACCGAUGCGAGGUUAGCAGCAGGCAACACAGCGGAAGCUAUGGCGAAGAUGCAAUG